ensembl:lncRNA PLCG1-AS1 PLCG1 antisense RNA 1
ACGUGAGGGGAUGGCGCGUCCUCCGGGAAUGCCCGGCCAAACUCAGUUACCUGGGCGGGCUUCCCGGACAAGGGAGCCAGGACGGGCCGCCUCACACCGGCGGCGGCGGGUCCUCCGCGCGCCCUCUCCCGGGAGGGGCGGGGGCGGGGCUGCCUGCGGAUUGGUCGCGGGCACUGAUGGACAGCCGACAUGUCCCGCCCCCCCGGCAGCGCGGGGCUGGUCCGCAGGCAGUUCUGGCGACGGCCAGACCCACGUCUGUCUGUUCCGCCCCUGCUGCCAGGGUGGCUUUCAGUGGUCCUCUCUUUCGGAGAGUUCCCCCCAAGCGUGAGCACCCCUUACAGGGGCGUUAGGUCCGCGGCCGCGCUGUCCAGUGGUCUGACCUGCAGCUCCCAGGGCCUUUGUGUCUGUCCCUCGCAUGGGCCUCUGCACGCUCCGUCCCCACGCGACAGGACUCGAGUCCGAUUCGGGGCUCCGACUCAGACCCUACCCCGCAGCGCCCUCCUGCAAAUGCUCUCCUGAACUUUGGUUUUCCCCGCCUUGCUUUCUUCCUCCUCCUGUAGCCGCUGCCUCUCGAUCUCAGAAGCUUCUCUUCCUCUGCACUCAGUGCUAGGCCAGAUCCCAAGGCGACCUGACCUUUCCCCUGGCUUUGCCCAACAACACAGGCACCGGUGACUCCAAACCUGCAUCUCCCCUACGUUCCAGGCCCCAGCAUCCCACUGCAUGUUCCACAUCCCCCCCCCUUAGACAGCUCGCCUUCCCUCCCCAAACGAUUCCUUCCACAGUCUUCACUUUCUCAGAACGCGGCGCUAAACUUCUCUAAGUUGGAAGGUCAAAAACCUUGCAGCUAACUUUGAUUCCUCCCUUUGCCUCACCUCCAAUCCAUCAAGACCUUGUCACUCAGCCCACAAGCUGAAGGCCCCAUCUCCUGUCACCCAGACUACUCACCUUGUUUGGUUUUGCCUGGAUCUAUCAGUUUGGUUUUGCCUGGAUUUAUCAUGCUUUAAAUCUUUAAAAUGAAAUUAAAUCAUGAUCCCCUACAUCCAGGCUAAAACCCUCCGUGAAUUCCCAUUGCACCUAAAAUCCACACUCCCUGCUUGGCCUAGCAGGUUCUAUAUGACCUGCCCAUCUCACCAGUUUCAUCUCUCACAAGUGAUCCUUCACUCUCCAUUCUCCAGCCACAAGGCCUUUUUCUGGUUAUGGAAUAUAAUUCAUACUCUUUGUCUUUCUGAAGCCAUUCUUGAAACUCACCCCUGCAAUCUAUCUACCCUUGUCAGCACCGCCAAAAUUGAGGACACCCACGGUCGCGGUGGAGCCUGUCUGACAUGUUGAGCCAGGCAGUGGGUCGGCUGCCAGGCACAGCAGGACAACUUACUGCAUUUCAGAGGAAUGAUGGUCCACAAUUUACUGAUGAGGAAACAGAGAUUCAGAGAAGUUCUACAAUUUGCCCCAAAGCCACAUAACAUGACUAGGUGGGAACUAGAACCCAAGUCGGCCUGACUCCAUGAGUUUUCUGCCUCACAGGAGAUCCACUGGCUUAGAGUUUCUCUCUCGUCGCCCAGGCUGGCGUGCAAUGGCACAAUCUUGGCUCACUGCAAUCUCCGCCUCCCGAGUUCAAGCAGUCCUGCCUCAGCCUCCUGAGUCUCUUUUGAUUUGGUGCUGUCACAGGUUGGGUUCUUUGGAUGUGGACUCUGUGACAGGUUAGUGUGCAGUAUGUUUAUUGGGGAGUGGCCCUGGGAUCAACACUCUGGGAGGUACUGGAAAGAAACAGGAGUGGGCACAGGGAAAACUAAACUGAGAUGCAGGCCUGAUGACAGUCUCAGCCAACUCCCAGGAUCUCUGUUGUCUGGCACUAGCCUGGAAAGGAGUUGUAAUGUCCUGGGAAGAGCCUAGCCUGGGCCAGAUGGCACUCUGCAGCCAAGAUGAUCUUCGAGGGGCUGACAGCUGAAGAUUUUCUGCUGACAGCUCUCCCAAUAGUUGGGUCAACAAGUCCUUCUUUGAAGGGGAUCUGGGUGGCACGUUGCUAUGUCUACCACAAGUGUAUUCUUUUUCAGCCCUUUAAAAAUGUUUUGAGUACUUAAAAAUAGAGAAUAAAAUAUAGAAAUAGGAGAUGAGAUUAUAAGGAGGAGGACGAUAAUAUGGUUUAUGGGUUAAUGUAGCUGAUGUGAUUGAGAAUUAAACAUGGCUGAGCUUCCUGAUAGCCAAAACAAUAACACUUUCUAUUCUGUUAACUGGUUCUUUGGAGUAAAAAAAAUUUCUGGGGUUAAAUUAUAAAAGAAGUUUCUCACCUGGAUACUUAUUUAGUUGAAAUAGUGGAGAAUGUUCUCAACUGGUUAAUAGCAAAUGCUGAUGCCGUUUUCAUUUGUUCCUUGUAAUGGCCUUGAGUGAAUAUCGAGGGCAUAAUAUACAAGUAUAGCUCAGUGAAGCCCUUUUCACAUUAGAAGGGUGCAGAUUUAUAGUCUUGCAGUGUCUAAUUUGAUCCAUGUGUAAAACAUUGUCCUUUUUCUUUAAACCAUUUUUUUUUUUUUUUUUUUUUACUCUUGUCGUCCUGGCUGAAGUGCAGUGGCGCAAUCUCGGUUCACUGCAACCUCUGCCUCCCGGGUUCAAGCAAGUCUCCUGCCUCAGCCUCCUGAGUAGCUGGGAUUACAGGCGCGUGCCACCAUGCCCAGCUAAUUGUUUGUAUUUUUAGUAGAGACGGGGGUUUCAUCAUGAUGGCCAGGUUGGUCUCGAACUCCUGACCUCAGGGGAUCCACCCACUGCAGCCUCCCAAAGUGCAGGGAUUACAGGCGUGAGCCACUGCACCUGGCCUAAACCAUUCUUUAAUUUUUACUCAGUUUCUCGUGUUAGACAUCUGAACAGCCCCUCCUCUGGGUUUGUGAGCCAGCCUGCACCUCAGCACACAGCCAGUACUACUUGCUAAGAACUAACCUCAGUGCACCUUGAACUCCACCCACAACCUGCUGUUUAGGCUCCUGACCCCUGGCCCCCAAAUCUAUCUGUGGCUCCAACUUAGUCAUCAGGCCUCACACUUCUUAGGUCAUGUCCACCUGCUUUCCUCCUCACCUGGGUUGUGUUAUCUGUCCCUCAAGAGCCUCGUGUUCUCUCUCAAGGCAAAAUCACACCUGGCUCGGCUGCUCCCAGGGACUGCUGUCUCCAUUGACCUUGGUGUAUCUCUGCUGAUUGGCCCCCAUAGUGGGACCCAGAUGUUGAGGUUCUCCAGCUGGGCUGCAGAUGUAUCUUCUUCUGAAAGGUGGCAGGGACACUGUGACUGCAUCACUGAGGCAACAUAUGGCAAUAAAGGAAGAGAAGGGGAAAGCCCAGGCCAGGGCAGACCUGCACUUUUCUGUUUUUCUCUCUCCUCCUUGCAACACGCUUCACGGAUGCAUCCUCUAGAGCACUAAGACAGCACAGCUGAGUCAGAACAAGUUCCCACUCCAGCAGUGGGUACAGAAAUGCCAACAGACCAUGACAAUUCAGUGUGAUGGGGGCCAUUGGAGCACUGAGAAGGGACACUUGGCUUUACUGAAACCUGUUAGUGUCUGUGGAGAUAGAGCAAAGUGAGAGACUGUAUAUGCCUGAAAGAGAUGGCCACUCCAGAUACAAGGCAAACACUCAUUUUCAUCAUAGGGUCACUCCAAGUUGUUUUGUGGGUUGUUUUUUUUUUGCAACUAAAAUAUAAACUUUUUAGAGAUGCAAAUGUCCACAUAUAAUAGUUUAUUUAGCUACAGGUACAUACUUUAAAUCACAUAUUUAAAACAAUAUAUUGAUUCACGAACAUUGAUUUUCCCCACACUCACAUUUUCAGUAAACUAUAUUCAACUCUUCACAUGAAUCUUGGAUUUCUGUAUUUUCACCAUGAGUCGCUUUUUGAGUCAUCUAAUAGAAUCUCUCAAAGCAUAUCAUCACUUUCCCUCCCUUCUAAGUUGAGAGAGAGAGCAAACAACUUUUUUUUUUUUUUGAGACGGAGUUUCGCUCUUGUUGCCCAGGCUGGAGUGCAAUGGUGUGAUCUCGGCUUACUGCAGCCUCCGCCUCCCGGGUUGAAGCGAUUCUCCUGCCUCAGCCUCCCGAGUAGCUGGGAUUACAGGCCCGCACCACCACGCCCAGCUAAUUUUUUAUAUUUUUAGUAGAGAUGGGGUUUCACCGUGGCCAGGGUGGUCUUGAACUCCUGACCUCAGGUGAUCCACCCACCUUGGCCUCCCAGAGUGCUGGGAUUACAGGUGUGAGCCACCGUGCCCGGCCAACUUUUUUUACUUAGAUUUUUUUUUUACUUAAAAAAUAAUUUUUGUUGAGGAAUAAUUUACAUAUAAAAUACAUCCAUUUUUAAGUGUAAAAUUUGUGCUUUGACAAAUGUAUACCCUCAUGUAACCUCCACCCAAUCAAGAUAGAGAAUAUUUCCACCACCCCAAAAUGUUUCCUGGUGCGCCUUCGCAGUCAGUCUCCUCUGUCCCCAUCCAGCAACCACUGAUUGACUUUCUGUCACUACGGAUUAGUGUUGCCUAUUCUGGAAUUUCACAUAAAUGGAAUCAUACAGUAUGUACUCUUGUGUCUGCGUUCAGCAUAAUGUUAUUUAGAUUCAUCCAUGUUGCUGCAAAGGGAAUACUUUCUGAAUUAGUAUGUGAUGUUAUCACUGAAAAUUGUAACCUAAGCAUAAUUACCUUUUAGUAUAACAUUAAGAUGUUGCUUUUCCCCCCUCAAUUCCUCUAUGGAUAUAUACUAAUAAUCUUCAAAAUAACCAGUUACUGUAUUGCUUUAAACAUGUUAUGAAAAAUCUCUGCUGGGCAUGGUAGCUCACACCUAUAAUAUCAGUAUCUGGGGAGGCUGAGACAGGAAGAUUGCUUGACCCCAAGAGUUGGAGACCAGCCUGGGCAACAUAGUGAGGCCUUGUCUCUAAAAAUAUAAAAAUAAAAAAAUUAGCCAGGCAUGGUAGCAUGCACCUGUAGUCUCAGCUCUUCAGGAAGUUGAAGUCGGAGGAUUGUUUGAGCCCAGGAGUUCAAGGCUAUAGUGAGCUAUGAUCACACCAGUGUACUCCAGCCUGGGCAACAGAGGUGAGACCCUGUGUCUAAAUAAAAAAGACAUUUUUAAAGAAAAAUCUUGGCCAGGUACGGUGGCUGGGCCGGGUGCAGCGGCUCACACCUGUAAUCCCAGCACUUUGGGAAGCUGAGGUGGGCAGAUCACCUGAGGUCAGGAGUUC